UACGGAGGGUGCAAGCGUUAUCCGGAUUCACUGGGUUUAAAGGGUGCGUAGGUGGGUAAGUAAGUCAGUGGUGAAAUCUCCGGGCUUAACCCGGAAACUGCCAUUGAUACUAUUUGUCUUGAAUACUGUGGAGGUCAGCGGAAUAUGUCAUGUAGCGGUGAAAUGCUUAGAUAUGACAUAGAACACCAAUUGCGAAGGCAGCUGGCUACACAAAUAUUGACACUGAGGUGCGAAAGCGUGGGGAGCAAACAGG
rnacentral:rRNA from 1 species